GAUGAACGCUGACAGAAUGCUUAACACAUGCAAGUCUUUGGUGAAGCUGUGCUUGCACAGCCUAGCCAAGGCGGACGGGUGAGUAACGCGUAAGGAACUUGCCCUGCAGUCAGGGAUAGCAGACGGAAACGACUGAUAAGACCUGGUAAAGUCAGGCGGACUCAUGUCCAGCCUGAUGAAAAGAGAUGCUGCAGGAGAGCCUUGCGUCCUAUUAGCUUGUUGGUGGGGUAACGGCCCACCAAGGCAAUGAUAGGUAGCCGGCCUGAGAGGGUGGACGGCCACAAGGGGACUGAGAUACGGCCCUUACUCCUACGGGAGGCAGCAGUGGGGAAUAUUGGACAAUGGGGGCAACCCUGAUCCAGCAAUUCUGUGUGCACGAUGAAGGUUUUCGGAUUGUAAAGUGCUUUCAGCAGGGAAGAAAAAAAUGACGGUACCUGCAGAAGAAGCGACGGCUAAAUACGUG
rnacentral:rRNA from 1 species